UAUUAGGCUUAGGUUCAUAAUCACCCUUUAAUUAAUUAACAUUUUAACUAAUUAAAUUGAAUGCAACAUUUUCAUUUUGGUUUUUGUAUCCAUAAAAAAUUGAUUUAAAUGGAGCUAAACAAAAUGAAAAUCCAAUUCUCAUUUAAAAGAGACAAAAUAAUUUUGUUCUCUACUUAAUUUGGGCCAAAUGCAAUAACCACAACUUUUUUGGGCCAUAAAGCAAUUGAUCUCAACUUUUGGGCUAUAUUGCAAAACUUUUGGGGUCACUUUGUAAAGACACAAAAGUCCACUACUUCAUGUAAUUACACUAGAACCCAAAAUUUAAUCAAUGCAAAACUUCAUUAAAGGAGCAAUUGUCCUUUAGCGUUUUUAGACCUAAACGUAAAAACGUAAACUUUUGGGCCAAAGUGCAAAUACACAAAAGUAUCAAAACUUUAUGUAAUUGCAUAAAAGGCCCCAAAGUACCCCCACUAGGGGGUGGCCGGUUUUGGAAGAGGAUAGAGUGAUGUGUGUGUUGAUUUGUGAGUUUUAGACAUAAAGCAACAAGUGGUGUGUGUGAAAGGGAAUUAAUCCUUACACACCCAUCACCAUUUCCAUCACCAUUCAAAUAAAUAUC
rnacentral:lncRNA from 1 species